rnacentral:rRNA from 1 species
UACGAAGGGGGCUAGCGUUGUUCGGAAUUACUGGGCGUAAAGCGCACGUAGGCGGAUACUUAAGUCAGGGGUGAAAUCCCGGGGCUCAACCCCGGAACUGCCUUUGAUACUGGACAUCUUGAGUACGGGAGAGGUGAGUGGAACUCCGAGUGUAGAGGUGAAAUUCGUAGAUAUUCGGAAGAACACCAGUGGCGAAGGCGACUCACUGGCCCGUUACUGACGCUGAGGCGCGAAAGCGUGGGGAGCGAACAGG